rnacentral:pre_miRNA from 1 species
UGACUUUGGUCAAAGUCAAAUUGCUUCAAGUUUGACUAAGUUUGUAGAAAAAAAUAAUAAUAUUUUUAACCCAAGACAAAUUUAUUAUGAAAAUAUAUUCAAUUAUUGAUUCAAUGAAACUAACUUGGUAUUAUAAAUAUUGUUAUAUUUAUCUAUAAACUUAGUCAAACUUGAAGUAGAUUGACUUUGACCAAAGUUAA